rnacentral:rRNA from 1 species
UACGUAGGGUGCAAGCGUUGUCCGGAAUUAUUGGGCGUAAAGAGCUCGUAGGCGGUCUGUUGCGUCCGCUGUGAAAACUCGGGGCUUGACCCCGAGCCUGCAGUGGAUACGGGCAGACUAGAGGUAGGUAGGGGAGAAUGGAAUUCCCGGUGUAGCGGUGAAAUGCGCAGAUAUCGGGAGGAACACCGGUGGCGAAGGCGGUUCUCUGGGCCUUACCUGACGCUGAGGAGCGAAAGCGUGGGGAGCGAACAGG